CAGCCGCCGCGGGAAUACGAAGGGGGCAAGCGUUAAUCGGAAUUACUGGGCGUAAAGCGUGCGUAGGCGGUGAGUUAAGUCUGCUGUGAAAUCCCCGGGCUCAACCUGGGAAUGGCAGUGGAUACUGGCUCGCUAGAGUGUGUCAGAGGAUGGUGGAAUUCCCGGUGUAGCGGUGAAGUGCGUAGAGAUCGGGAGGAACAUCAGUGGCGAAGGCGGCCAUCUGGGACAACACUGACGCUGAGGCACGAAUGCGUGGGGAGCAAACAGGAUUAGAUACCCCCGUAGUCCCUGUCUCUUAUAA
rnacentral:rRNA from 1 species